rnacentral:lncRNA from 1 species
CUUCUGUGUAUGGUUCUAGGUUAGCAUUGGCCACAGGAGAAAUUCUCACAAGAUUUUGGAAGGUGGAUAGAUUCUCUAUGAGAAUCCAUUCCUAAAUUACAACAAAAGAAUAGGACAUUCAAGGAAGAAAAAAAUAAGAAUGUAUUAUUUACAUUGCAGAAGAAUAAAAAGUUCAAUCUGUCCAGAGUUCAUAGUGGAAAGUGAUGGAGAAUGAGGGCAACUUCAUGGACUUCCAGAAUCUAUUCACUCAUCCUCAUCCUGAAGCAGUCGUUUCCUCUUUCAAAGGAGUGUGGUUCCCUAUAAAAUCCAGAGAAGAGGGAGAGAAAAAAACAACCACCACCAGCAGUGAAAAAGACAAUGACAGAAGGUGCAUUUACCAGAAAGUUUUAGUUCUUCACUUCCAUGAUUUGUGUUUUUCCUGGAGCUUCCCCAUCACCAGAGCUUCCAUUUAAAAUCCUGCAAGAAUUUAAGCCUCACCUAUAUUUCCGGAAGAGUCAUAGAAGUCUCCUCCAAUCUUCCCCGAGAUCCACAGUACAGUGGAUCUCUUAAUCACAUGAGCACGAACUCUGUUGUCCUUUUUUCUUUUAAAUAUCAAUGAAUUUUGUGUGCUAUCCUAUUGGGUAUGACUACAAUUUAGGCUAUAAUCUUUCAGGAGGCUACACGAAGAUUUGUGCAAUAAAAAUAACUCACAUCACUGAUAUUCUAACCCAUUGAUACUCAAAGAGUGGUCCAGGAACCUGCAGCAUGGGCAUCACUUGAAAGCUUGUUAGAAACGCAGAAUUUCAGAUCCCAUGCCAGUACUAUUGAAUCAUAAACUGCAUUUAAACAAGAUUCCAGGUGAUUUCUAGUCACAUUAAAUUUGAACAAGCACUGUCUUAACUGACCUUAAUCCAUCAGAGCCAACAGUUGAUUCUUUCAGUGAAUCUGCCAACCACCACUACCACUAACGUUUUCUACAAAACACAUGUCCUGUUGAUUGGCCAUUGUUAGUAAAUAAUUAUGCACAUUCUUAAGACAUGGUUUUUUUG